CGUCAGGUUCGCGCAAGGCACACGCAUUUAUCAACGUUUAUCCCACAUGAACCUAGGCAGCAGCACUUGUGAAGAAAAGAUGUCAGCAUAGAUAUCUUUACAAGCUUCAACCUCCAGAGCCAGGGCUGGAUGAAGGAACAUCUGUUGGUAUGUCACAACUAAAACAGCUGAAAGUUGAAAGGGCAAUGGCUUCACCAUGGUGACCCUCAAGCGCUGCACAGAUCCACAAAGGCCACACAGAGACUCAAACCGGAAGUAAAGAGAAUGUGAGUGUGGCCAGCGUGCCUCCUGACCCUCC